CAAGUACUCCCUUCGUCCGGAAUUAUUUGUCAUCAAAAUGGAUGUGUCUAGAACUAAAAUACAUCUAGAUACAUCCAUUUCAAUGACAAGUAUUUCCGGACGGAGGGAGUACAAG
rnacentral:pre_miRNA from 1 species